GCAAUACUACUCAGAUCAAUGAACUUUUCUGCUAUGUAACUCCAUACAAAUGUGGAUCAACGGACUAAGUCCUCAAUAAACCAAAUGACGACCAUGAAAACUGCAGGCGGAACAUCAUGAGCAGGUAAAAGAAUGGGACGUUUCGUGGUAAUUUCAAUCUUUUUGUUGUUAUUUUGCCAUGGCAGUUUUAUGAUGGCAAUGAAUAUGAAGUCAUUUAACCCCGUGGACUACUUCUUUCGCCAGAGAGACACGUCUUAUAAUACCAUGACCAAUUACAACAACAGACUAGGCAGAGUUGGUGGCACAUCGAAUAUAAGAAGACUCUACUACUAGUAUAAUAACUUUGGAUGAUUUUCAUCGAUCUGAUAUCGUCAUCUGAUAAUAGGCCAAACUGUUUCAAAAUAUGCUCUGUUUGAUCAUUGCAGAAAACAAUUAAAAUAAGAGUUCAUCAUUUGUUAUUUUAUGAAAUUCAACAAUAAACUUUAUUAUAAAUUGUGCUGUAUCUUCUAGGAUUAUUUAAAACACUUUAGAGUUUUA